UGUCAGCAGCCGCGGUAAUACGUAGGUGGCAAGCGUUAUCCGGAAUUAUUGGGCGUAAAGCGCGCGUAGGCGGUUUUUUAAGUCUGAUGUGAAAGCCCACGGCUCAACCGUGGAGGGUCAUUGGAAACUGGAAAACUUGAGUGCAGAAGAGGAAAGUGGGAUUCCAUGUGUAGCGGUGAAAUGCGCAGAUAUCAGGAAGAACACCGGUGGCGAAGGCGGGACCCUGGGCCGGUACUGACGCUGAGGAGCGAAAGCGUGGGGAGCAAACAGGAUUAGAAACCCGAGUAGUCC
rnacentral:rRNA from 1 species